rnacentral:rRNA from 1 species
GCUGGCGGCGUGCCUAACACAUGCAAGUCGAACGAGAAAGUGGAGCAAUCCAUGAGUAAAGUGGCGACCGGGUGAGUAACACGUGACUAACCUACCUCCGAGUGGGGAAUAACUCCGGGAAACCGGGGCUAAUACCGCAUAACAUCGCAAGAUCAAAGCAGCAAUGCGCUUGGAGAGGGGGUCGCGGCUGAUUAGCUAGUUGGCGGGGUAACGGCCCACCAAGGCGAAGAUCGGUAUCCGGCCUGAGAGGGCGCACGGACACACUGGAACUGAAACACGGUCCAGACUCCUACGGGAGGCAGCAGUGGGGAAUUUUGCGCAAUGGGGGAAACCCUGACGCAGCAACGCCGCGUGGAGGAUGAAGCCCUUUGGGGCGUAAACUCCUUUCGACUCGGACGAUAAUGACGGUACGAGUGGAAGAAGCACCGGCUAACUCUGUGCCAGCAGCCGCGGUAAUACAGAGGGUGCGAGCGUUGUUCGGAAUUAUUGGGCGUAAAGGGCGCGUANGCGGUGCGGUAAGUCACCUGUGAAAUCUCCUGGCUUAACUGGGAGUCUGCAGGCGAAACUACCGUGCUGGAGUGUGGGAAAGGUGCGUGGAAUUCCCGGUGUAGCGGUGAAAUGCGUAAAUAUCGGGAGGAACACCUGUGGCGAAAGCGGCGCACUG